rnacentral:snRNA from 1 species
AUUAUUAAGCAUAAGAAAAGCUAUCAUUCGAAAGGGUAAAAACAAAAAAAAAACCCUCCCAGCCAUUGGCCAACACUCUGCACCUGAAUUUCUGUGUACAUUUUU